rnacentral:lncRNA from 10 species
AAAUGUGGGCUUGACAUUCAUUAACAUUCUUUGGCUCCCUGGGAAAUACACAUAAUAGGGUAAAAUUGCCAUUAAGGAGAGCAACACUUGAGGGAAAUAUCUACUCAAUAAAGACGGAGAUUCUUCUCAUCAACAGCUGAGGAAAAAUCCAGUUGCCAUAAAGGGUAAAAGAGACAUCCUCUUAAUAUGAAUGAAGAUGACCAGAGUUCAGCAGGUGCAUAGACUGGCGGCUGCCAGGGGAUAAGGAAGCAGUGGCAUUGGAAUUCAAGACUGUCUCUCUGACCUUCCUGAAUGACUCAGCAAUAUGAAGUUAAAAUCAGGUUCUUCUUUGGAAUUGGUGGCUGGCUGCUUGCUUAUGAGUGUAGACAUGUGACCCAAACACUCCUCCAUCACUGCUCUGUGGCCUCAGGGACAAGGACUAAAACAAACAAACAAAUGAACAAGCAAAGAUACCAGCCCACAAGGGCAAACAAAUGGAGAAGAAACAGUAGACAAGAGAGAAAACACAAUUUUGGAAGUUGAAAAAUAAAUGGAGAAGUGACAACUGCUUUAGCAGAAGCUGAAACAUAAUUGCCUACAGAGUGGUAAGAAUAAGAAGCAAGGUAAAGAACUCUGCAGAUCUUCAAAAAAGCUGAGGACUUGCAGACCCCAAGUCGUCUGAAAAGUGCAUGGGGCUACUUCAGGGCAGACGGAUUAGCUGUAAGUUGUUCACAAAGCAGUUAGACUCUCUGAUCCCCAUCCCCUCAUGUUGAUUUUCUGGAUUCAGUGACACCAGGUAUAAUGGAGUAACCCGCCUAUGAGCCCAACCCAAAUUCGAAAGUCACCAUGCUCUACCUGUUAACACAGAACUUCCAGUCAGAUUUUUAGUGUGUUGUUUGUGAUUAUGAACAGAUAGCCAAGAACCACAUUUGAGGAAGUCCUCCAACAUAAAACUUGGAGAUCAAAAUGAAUAGAAAAGAAUCGAGCACAGAAAAAAGAAAGAAAACAGAUAAAAUAGAGAGUAUAAAAAAAAACUUUAAAACUACUGUUAAUCUCAAAGAAAAAACAAUUCAUCCACAAAACAAGGACAAUUAGAGAACAGUAAAAGAUUCAUGGAAACUAUCAAAGAAAGAAAACAUGAAUAUACUCUGGAGGAAAACGACAUGUAGUCUGGAUUGAAAGAGCCUACCAAAUGCCCACCACAAUGAAUAAGAAAUAAAUAAAUCAAAACCCACAUCUAGAAAUAUCAGAACUUUAGAAUAUCAGGGCCAAAAAGAAGACCCUAGGAGCUCAAGUAGGGUAGGGUGGGCAUGAAAUAGUGCAUAUACAUAAAAAUGAAAAAACAAAAUGCCAGAAGAAACUGAAGUCCUCAGUCCUAAAACUGUAAGGAACUGAAUGCUUCCAAUAACCUGUGUGAGCUCAGAAGUCAAUACUUCCCCAGUUGAGCCUCAGAGAAGACUGAAACCUUAGAAGACAUUUUGAUUACUGCUUUGAUUGCAGACUCAUGACCCACAGACACUAAAUUAUUUUAAGCUGAUACCUUUAUGGUAAUAUUGUUACAAAGCAAUAGAUAACAAAUAUACCUGGCAAUAUUACUCAAUUGUAAAGGUGGAAUGAAAAUAUUUUCCGACAUGGUAGACCUAAAGAAUCUUGGCUGAAAUUCAACUUUCCAGAGCUCUAUGUCUGCCAAAAAUAGAUGGCAUUCAAGAGAAUCUAAGGCAUGAAAGAGUAAUGAAUGACAAAAACAGACAAAAAAUUGGGCUUGCAUGUGGUAAUUAUGGUGGGAGUAUUUUGUUGUGAGCAAUAUUGGACAUCUGAAGAAGAAGAACCAUACAAUCUAGUUUUUGGUAACAUCAUACAAUCCAGAGCACUGUACUUUGCAAAUAGUACACAAAUAAAUAGGUGAGUGAGAAAGUUCGUGAAAUAGAAGUAUAAGAAACUCAAAGUACCCUGGUGCAAAUAGCAUUUGUGGUCAGAUUUGUUCAUAUAACUAACACUAUCAUAAGUAAUGGUAUCUUCAGCUGCCAAGAAGGGCAUGUGGGUAUUUAUAUAAAUUUCACUUGCCCCACUGCUACCCCAAUUCCCAAAGGGACUAGGAAUGCUUUUUUGUACAAAAUGAAUUAGAUGAUAUAUUCUCCUUCCCUUAUAUAGAGGUUUUAACACUAACUCCACUCUAAUUACAGUUCUUUCCCUCCUUACGGCCUUCUCACUUACUGUGCCUUUGGUUUUUGAGCAGAUAUUUGCAUGGUUUAUGCCAUCACAUCACUCAGCUUUGCUUAAGUAUCACACCUUGGGAAGCUUUUCCCUGUCGUGGUGCCUCAAGUACUAGUCCCUUGCCCUGAUUUAUUUUUCUUUAAAGUGCUUAUCAUUAUUUAUUAAUUUUACACACCUCCCCCAAACAGAUUGUAAGCUCUUUGAAAGAUAGAUGUUUUUAUUCAUUUUUCUAUCCCAAGACCCAUAUAGGUGGCAAACAAUUAAUAUUUAAGUGAAUGAAUUAAAUUUCAAAGCCAAACUUUCACAUUUCUUCAACUGAAGAAUGAGAUAUAAUAAGACAGUAAUCUAAACUGGGUUUCAUUCUAUACUAUUUAAAGAUUUUCUAAAUGUGCACAUUUUCUACAAAGAAUUAAAUGCAAGAAAGUUAUAGACAGAUCCAGUUCUAAGGAAAUUCAAGGUAAUUAGAAUAGACUACAUACUUUGUAUUCUCUCCACAAUUACAAAUUUAUAUCAUUGUAACAGCAAAUACAGUGGCCCAACUGUGUCUUCUUAAUAGUCAUGAAACAUGAAGAUAAAGGCAGGGGUAAAGAUUGGUAUUAUGUUAUUUGGUUUUUGAGAUUCUGGGCAUUAUUGACUCUAAAAGCGAUGUUUUCCUUGAUGUAUUGGAACUUUAGACAGAAUGGAAGAGAGCAUUUAACCCUUUCUGACCAUCACACUUAGCCGAAACAAAAGCAUUGCACAGUUGAGAAAAAGAAAAUCCCAUGGCCCCCAGCUGACAGAACGGACCAUCAUCCUGGCCAAGAGGACCACAGAGAAACCAUGGAAACUGAGUUACUGGCCAUGAUGGGAUGCAAGAUCAAGUAUGCCUUGCUAUAUCCCCUUCUUUGCUAAGUGCCAUUAGGCUUUCUUCUCUAACAGAAACCAGCCCUUUUGAAAGACUCUUUCCACUCCUGAUAUCAACCAACCACCUGAGGCUGCCCCUUCCUUUUGCAGUUUCCCCCAAGUGACCAGCAUUCCUUUCGGAUAAGAGACUACUGAGCAUGCAGCGGUUCUGACCAGUAGAUGGAGGAUGUGCACUGAGUGCCUUCAUGUCCUCAGUCAUGAUGUCAGAGGGCUGAAAACUUCACCUUCAGUUCCAUGGGGAAGAUGAAGCAUAAUUGCAUAUAGGCAUGUUUCUCCUUUCACAAAUAUUCAUGACUCCUUCUAUAUAUUAAUAUGCAUACUCACCCACCCCAUUCAGCAUCAAUUCCUGUUCCCUUUGCGCCCCUCUCAAAGUGUUUUCAGUUUUUGCCUGGAGUUAAGCUUCCCAACCUGUCAGAAAGGCUACCUGCAGGCUGCAACCUUUUAUGAGAAAUAAAACUCUCCUUUCCAAAUUUAUGAACCUUCUCA